AUAGGAAUUCCUAUAGGAAUAGAUUUCCUAUAGGAAUUUCCUAUAGGAACUGAAUUCCUAUAGGAAUUCCAAUUUCC